UUGUUCUCUGAAAUGAUGGUUGCAGCAAACUGUGAUCGUUCCUCCUGAAAAAGGGUAUGGAAAAAAAGGAAUGAAUGAGAUUUUCGUAGCUUAGAUAAGGAAUAUGUUCAGGAUAUUUUGCCAUAUUGGAUUGUAUUAAAGAGGGAUUUUGCAACUGCUAAUAUGAUAGGAGCAAAAGGUUUAAUGGGGAACUCGUGGCCAGAUUUGGCCAUGCUACCAUUUGGAUUGCUAACUGAUCCUGGUAAUAAGGUCAUAACAUGGCUUCUUGUCAUUCCUGUAUGAAUAUCAUGAUCUUUAUUAUUUUAAUCAGUUGGUGGUCAGCAAUGUACUUACA